rnacentral:lncRNA from 1 species
CCUUUGGGAAAAUAAAUACAAACACAAGGCUACAAACAUCACAUGACCAUCAAUCCCACAAAUUCAUACCACAUGGUUUGAAUUUCGUAAGGUAAAACAAGAAAUGGCAUGCCAAUGCGCCUUGGAAUUUAGGGUUCUACUUCUAGAACCGUACUGUAAAUCCAUAAAUAUUGUUUGAAUUGCAGAGGACGGAAGAAGAUGAAGUGAUGGGCUCUUGGCAAAACCCAAAUACAAAGAGAAGCCAGCGAGCUAUGAUUAACUAUCUGUCCAUCACUUACACCUUCAGUACCACAAAUUCAUGCCACCUACAAUAGUUAAA